rnacentral:rRNA from 1 species
AUUGAACGCUGGCGGCAGGCCUAACACAUGCAAGUCGAGCGGUAACAUUUCUAGCUUGCUAGAAGAUGACGAGCGGCGGACGGGUGAGUAAUGCUUGGGAACAUGCCUUGAGGUGGGGGACAACAGUUGGAAACGACUGCUAAUACCGCAUAAUGUGCUUAACGUGGUGUUAUGUACCAAAGGGGGGGAUUCGCUUUUCGGAGUGGACCUCUCGCCAUUAGAUUAGCCCAAGUGAGAUUAGCUAGUAGGUGAGGUAAAGGCUCACCUAGGCGACGAUCUCUAGCUGGUUUGAGAGGAUGAUCAGCCACACUGGGACUGAGACACGGCCCAG